GGAGGAGAAAAUUAUUGUGUGAUUUUUUUAUAAGAAUAGAGCGGAUUUUUGUUGCUGGAUGACCCUCGAUGCCCGUGGAUUUGGAGGCACCACCUGGCCCAACCUCGGCAUCCAUCAUAAGCACCAGCAUCACCACCAAGCUUCAGGGAUUAUUUUUGCGACCCGUCGCCGAAAUUCCGCCGGCCACAUCAACCCCUCUGCCUGUGGAGUCUUGGAUCUUUUUUUAUGUAUUUUUUUAUAUAAAAAAAAUUACAAAUAUCACGUAACUACAACUAUUAAAUAUCCCCGCGAGAGAGGACAAAAA